rnacentral:lncRNA from 1 species
CUUUUACUGUCUCUUUAGCGUUCAUCCUUACCUUCUGUCUAAUGUGUAGUCAUUCUGCAUAGGGACAACAUAGUGGCAAUCCCCUCCCCUCCCUCCCACCUCCUCUAGGUGUUUAAUAAUUCGGUGGUGUUGUUAGUGUACCUCCGGGGAAGCCAAACUCAUCUGUUUCUACCCAGGCAUUUAAUAAAUGGAUUACUGAGCGUCCAUCUUGGUUCUUUUCCCUCUGGCACGGGCCAGGCUUGGUAGAACACACAGCCUACAGUCCAGAUAGGGCCACUAACAGGGGAUAGCGCUAUCUCUUGGCUUGAGAGACACACACGCAACGCAGCGUGAAGCUAUCGUGUGCAGACACAGACACACACAUACACUGAAAGUUGUAGACUCAUAGACACAUUACAACACAGAACACCUCUGUGUGCGGUAUGGGCCCUAACCACUUACAGAUGAAUGUUCAAACACACACACACACACACACACACACACACACACACACACACACACACACACAGGAAAACAAGUACACACACCCUAAAGACAAAUGCCUCCUGAGGCGCAGCCUAGCUCGAUGACAGUAAGGGACAGGGGAGUCUUGAAACAAUUACUGUGGCUGUCACUGUUUAGAGAGAAGAAGCAGAGCAAUCAGAUGAGGGGAGGGAGGAGAGAAGAGAGGAAUGAGGGGACAGAGAUGUCACUUUCAUUGACAAAGUGAGCAUAGUUUCAUUAUGUGGAAAGACAAGGUGACAUCUAGCUAGUUUGGUCUGGCCACCGGCCACAUCAAGGACUGGUUUCCAACUACGUAACAACUCCAACAGACAUAUAUGACCUAUUCAUGAUGUAUUGCUUGUGUUAUGAAGUCUCAUGUAGAUGCCCUUCUAGUAAAGUCAUUCAUCAGAAUGGGUGGGUGUCUUCAAGUGAGGGCAGACUCUUGCCCUCUUAUCCUUGUACUGUCUGUCACGGUGUUGUAUGGAGCACUGGUCGGCUGUCUGCCACGGUGUUGUAUGGAGCGCUGGUCGGCUGUCUGUCACGGUGUUGUAUGGAGCACUGGACGGCUGUCUGCCACGGUGUUGUAUGGAGCGCUGGUCAGCUGUCUGCCACGGUGUUGUAUGGAG